GGACUACUGGGGUUUCUAAUCCUGUUUGCUACCCACGCUUUCGUGUCUCAGCGUCAGUGGCGGUCCAGAGAGCCGUCUACACCACCGGUAUUCCUCCUGAUAUCUACGCAUUUCACCGCUACACCAGGAAUUCUACUCUCCCAUCCCGCACUCUAGUCUCCCAGUUUUCGGCGCACCCUCCCGGUUGAGCCGGGAGAUUUCACACCAAACUUAGAAAACCGCCUACACACCCUUUACGCCCAGUAACUCCGAACAACGCUCGCUGCCUACGUAUUACCGCGGCUGCUGGCAC
rnacentral:rRNA from 1 species